rnacentral:rRNA from 1 species
UGGGGAAUAUUGGACAAUGGGCGAAAGCCUGAUCCAGCAAUGCCGCGUGGGUGAAGAAGGCCUUCGGGUUGUAAAGCCCUUUAGGCUGGGAAGAAGAAUAUGGGGUGAAUAUACCUGACUUUUGACGGUACCAGCAGAAUAAGCACAGGCAAACUCUGUGCCAGCAGGCGCCGUAAUAACGAGGGUGCGAGCGGUAAUCGGAUUUAAUGGGCGUAAAGAGUUGCGUAGGUGGACACGUAAGGGAAUAGG